rnacentral:rRNA from 1 species
UACAAACCUUAUCGAUAAACAAUUGGAGGGCAAGUCUGGUGCCAGCAGCCGCGGUAAUUCCAGCUCCAAUAGCGUAUAUUAACGUUGUUGCAGUUAAAAAGCUCGUAGUUGAAAUGAAGGGUAGUUGUGUAAUGAAUACAUUCGUGUAUUUUGUUAUUCUACUACCCUCCUUCUAAAUUCGAUAUAUGAGUAUUAAUUUACUUGUAUAUGGUUUUAGACGUUUACUGUGAGAAAAUUAGAGUGUUCAAAGCAGGCAUUUGCUUGAAUAUAUUAGCAUGGAAUAAUCAUGUAUGAUUUUCAUGAUGUAUUUGAUUGGUUUGGUUCAUGAGAAUAAGAUUAAAAGGG